GAUGAACGCUGUCUACAGGCUUAACACAUGCAAGUCGAGGGGAAACGACGGGGAAGCUUGCUUCCCCGGGCGUCGACCGGCGCACGGGUGAGUAACGCGUAUCCAACCUGCCUCUGACUGAGGGAUAACCCGUCGAAAGUCGGCCUAAUACCUCAUGGCAUCGUCUGCGGGCAUCCAACGACGAUUAAAGAUUUCAUCGGUCAGGGAUGGGGAUGCGUCUGAUUAGCUUGUUGGCGGGGUAACGGCCCACCAAGGCUACGAUCAGUAGGGGUUCUGAGAGGAAGGUCCCCCACAUUGGAACUGAGACACGGUCCAAACUCCUACGGGAGGCAGCAGUGAGGAAUAUUGGUCAAUGGGCGGGAGCCUGAACCAGCCAAGUAGCGUGCAGGAUGACGGCCCUAUGGGUUGUAAACUGCUUUUAGGCGGGGAUAAAGUGAGGGACGUGUCCUUCAUUGCAGGUACCGCAUGAAUAAGGACCGGCUAAUUCCGUG
rnacentral:rRNA from 1 species